rnacentral:rRNA from 1 species
AUUGAACGCUGGCGGCAGGCCUAACACAUGCAAGUCGAACGAGUGGCGGACGGGUGAGUAAUGUCUGGGAAACUGCCCGAUGGAGGGGGAUCACUACUGGAAACGCUAGCUAAUACCGCAUACCAUCGGAUGUGCCCAGAUGGGUGUAGCUAGUAGGUGGGGGAAUGGCUCACCUAGGCGACGAUCCAUAGCUGGUCUGAGAGGAUGACCGCCCAAACUGGAACUGGGGCACGGUCCAGACUCGUACGGGAGGCAGCAGUGGGGAAUAUUGCACAAUGGGCGCAAGCCUGAUGCAGCCAUGCCUCGUGUAUGAAGAAGGCCUUCGGGUUGUAAAGUACUUUCAGCGAGGAGGCGUUACUCGCAGAAGAAGCACCGGCUAACUCCGUGCCAGCAGCCGCGGUAAUUC